GUAGGUAUAGCUCGGUGGUUAGAGCACAUGCUUAGCAUGCACAAGGUCCAGGGUUCAAUCCCCAGUACUCCCA
rnacentral:tRNA from 1 species